rnacentral:rRNA from 1 species
CACGUAGGGGGCAAGCGUUGUCCGGAUUUAUUGGGCGUAAAGAGCUCGUAGGUGGUUCGGUAAGUCAGGUGUGAAACCUCCAGGCUCAACCUGGAGACGCCACUUGAUACUGCUGUGACUGGAGUCCGGUAGGGGAGCGUGGAAUUCCUGGUGUAGCGGUGAAAAUGCGCAGAUAUCAGGAGGAACACCGGUGGCGAAGGCGGUUCUCUGGGCAUGUCCUGACGCUGAGGAGCGAAAGUGUGGGGAGCGAACAGG